GGGGGCCACUUACUAUAUAAUGAGUGGUAGGGAUGAGCCGCUGGAAUAGGUCACUUUUUCAUGCUCUAUGAUACAUGAAAAGGGUGAGAAAUUCAGAUUAAAUAUAUCAAUAGGUUGAUAUUAUCACUUGCUUGGUUAUAUCAUAAGUAUCUGAAACUAAUCAGAUGUCCGUAUUUAUUUUUGAUGCUGUUAAACCACAGUCGUAAAUGCAUCAGUUAUUUGUCAAACCAAUUAAACUCUAUUUAUCCUGAUGUGGUAUUUCCACUGAUGCCAGUGAUUGAUGCAAUAAAUCCGACCAAAUUGACAUUUGCACCUAAUUAACAUUCAAGGGUUUGUAUACAUAAAACAUGAUAACAACUAUUUAAAAUUCAAUUCAAAGAAAUUCCAUUGUGACAGCGUCCUUUAAGAGGGAACGGCAAUGAAACUUUUUAUCAGUUUUUAAUUAAUUAAUAUAUAAAUCAGUGAAGGUGUUUGUAUGAUCAGACCAAACGUCUUUUAUAUGUAUUGUAUUUUGGAAUUGAAAUAUCUUCAUAAUGAAAGAUACAUGUAUAAAAGGGGCAAUAAGAAGAAGGUUUUUAAGAUGUGACGAAUUUAUUGGAAAAGAAGGUGAUAUUAUUGCGACUACUUUGCUUCUUAACAAGAAUGUGAUGAUGAGCGGGAAAAAAAUCUAUAAUAAUGUACCAGAAGAUGAAAAAUAUUUAAAUAUAUCUAUAGGUCUGUUUUUUGUUAAUUGAUAUAUGACAAGGUAUAUAUUUGGAUAAACAAAAUAUAUAAUAAAAGGGUGGGGUACUUGAUGUCUCAGCUGCUCACCCCUACCAAAAAAAGUUUGAAGUGG
rnacentral:lncRNA from 1 species